UACCACCCCAGAAACAUGUGAUUUUUAAAGUACGUUCCCAUUCUCAACUUUUAUGAUUCACUGGUCACAAUUACCCUAUUUAGACUAGAAAACCUAGGUUUGGUUAACUAUGUACUCUCCACAUAAAACAGUUUGCUUUCACAUGGUCUACUCAGCAUCUCCUUAGAAGACAGGGCCUGAAUGCUUGGCAAUCACACAUUUGUCAAGUAUCCAGUGACCCGCAUCUUUGCACCAUUUUCCUUAGGAAGAAGGAAGCAGCUGUAGCCUAUCACCUUGGAGUACUUUGGCCAGCAGCCUGGCAUCUUGGGAAUUUAUCCAGCAUGCAUUUCAGAGGUAUUCAGACACUUUUAGAAGAAAGCAAAGUCUCUAAAGGAAACCGAGAACAUUAAAGAUUUAUGCAUCUUGUGUAACUUGACUGUAAGAAACAAAGCCAGUUUCUGCUCAGCACUUAAUAAUAUAAGAUGAACUGAAAACUGCAAAGAAACAUGUUUAAAGAUAAUAAAUUUGUAUAAUAUUUUUGUCAAAUCACUCACAGCACACAUUUUACAGGCAGCUUGAAAACAUUUUGCAAACUAGAAAGAUGAAAGCAUUUGAUAUUUGUUUCCUGGAGGUGGAGGAACUGGAAGAGUCCUAGGUCUUCAGAGUCCCCAGAAGAUGAUUCUGCAUAUAUUGCACAUAGUUACCAACUGCUUGAAAUCAGCAAGGCCUCAUUUGGGACUUUGGACAUGUCAAGAAACAGUAUGGGGCUGAUUGAAGUGAAUGGCAAUGAGAGGUCAGCAAUUGCUGAGGAUUUUUGUUCAAGUGCUAUUUUUUUACUUUUCAAGUUUAACAGCAAGACCUCACUAACUUAGAGUACUUAAAGGGAGACAUUUUUCUAAAAAGGAUGAAGUGAGUUUAGGUAGUUAUCAGUUUGGUAUUUCAUUUUUUUCUCCUUUUUUUGAAAAGUUUCCUUUUCUCAACUCUUUCCUAAUUAGCUUCUGAUCCCAAUAACUCCGCCCCUCUCUUUUUCCCCUUCACAUUUUAUUCUUCCCUAUCUCCAGCAGGUCUAAUCAAAGGAAUAUGUUCUUUACUUUCUUUUUGCUAUCUUUCCUUGAGGGCACAUCCCUUGUGUUUGUGGACGACCUGACAGUGUUCAAGAAGGAUGAGGUCUGGAUCUAAAUACGGUGGAUCUAAACACUUGCUGCAGCAAGUGCACAAUUGUGACCACAGCCCUCGACUGGGAGGCAGUGUUAGGAGAGGCCAAGAGUGAGCUUGGUUAUUCUGGGCAUUUGUCAUGGCUGAUCUGAAGGCUGAUCAGGUCAUAGAUAGAAGCUGAUGCUCUGGGAAACGGUGGACAAGCCAGGCCCUGCUAGGAUUCGUGCAAGUCAAGUAACGGUUGGACCCACUACAUCUGGCCAGCCAUGAAGAACACCCCAAGACAUCCCACCUGCUAGGCACCAGGUAGAAACAGUCGAUAUUCUCCAUCAGUGAAAAAAUGAGGACGGUGGAUGAGGGGGAGGGUACAGAGAGAGGGAGAAAGAAAGAGAGAUUCGAAAGCAGAAGCAUUUCUUUUCUCACCGAAGUUACAAGACCCCCAGGUUGAAUUCACAAUAAUAACAGGCAGGAGAAAGUUCAAAUGGGUAAAUCCCAUGCAUGGCAUUAAAAAUGGAACUUGAGCAUAUGCAAACAGCAUGUCGACAGCAGAUCUGAGGUGAGGGCGAAGCACAGGCUCUGGGGUGAGAAGUAAGCUUGUGCUGAGAAACCAUCUGGGAAAACUCUUAGACUAAUUUGAAUUGAACCAAGCUGAGACCUUAAGCAUUUCUUUCCAUUGAGAUCCAAGCCAGACAAUGACACGCGUUGAUGUUCAGUUGCGGAGAUGCCCAUGUGUCCUCGCCUAACAGCUGUCACGCUAUUUCAGAUGCAACCAAUUGGUUUAUUUUGGCCCAAAGAAAGAUUUGGACAUCUAUUUGAACAUUAGAAGCACAGCAUGGCUCACUGGAUUCAACAAUUGAACAGAAUGUUCAGGGAGAAGGAAGAAAGCUGUGCCAAUAAGCCAAUAAUAAAGGAAUUCCAGGCUUUAGCUGAUGAGAAGACCUGGAGGGUCCCAGGGCCUCUGCGUCCCGUGUCAGGACUUCAAAGGCCCUGGCAGGUGCUAACUUCAAAGACCACAUAUAAAACACUGUCCAGACAGUUCAGCUCCAUCCGGCAACGCUCUGCAAGGCCAUCAGGCAUUCAGAGAGAAUACAAAGGACCCAGCCCCUUGGGGGAUCACACUGGAAUCUCCUGUGAUUAGAGCUAGUGCUUCCAAAAUGCCACGUUUCCGCUUGCUGCUCCCAGAAGUGCUGUCUGCGGGUCUCCCCGGGAGGCACCUUCACCCGCCGCGCCUGUCCUCGAUCCCCGCGCGCUCCCGCCCUCUGCUCCCACCUUUCGCUGCGAGCCGACUCCUCAACCGCAAGCAAUGAAAAGGAAAAACAGGGAAGAUAAAAGCGCAGCUAAAAUACAGCCCUGAUGGGCUGCCAGCAUUGCAGUCACCACGAAGCGGCACUUCAGGGCUGUCAGAGAGGCCAAGACGACUGAAAAUGCCCUCAUCCCGUGUGGGAGUCAUUCCUGUGAACACCAGCAUCCCGUCUGGGAGAGGGGCUCUUCAGCGAGAAGGAGCAAAGUCUCAAGACACAGCAUCCAGAGUUCAUCUACAUGAGAAGAACUGCACAGAGCAGAUGUGCUGACGUUCCUUGAUUAACUCAAUUAAAACUCCGAAUGGUUAAUAUGCCGUUUCUAGGCAGUUUUGAUUGCCACAGCAUUUUGUGGUUGCUCUGUCAUCAAAAGAAUCGAAGGAAGAAUUGUGUUCAGGAUCCAGAGGCUGCUUCUAGGGGAAGUGGGGAAGGUGCCGACUGCCCCACGGUGGUGAUGGGGUGGGUGCUGAAGAAGAGCCGCUGACCAAGACGCCGCUCUGCUCACCCACCAGGGCGGCCUGCAGGUCUUCACCCGAA